CGAAGGGGGCUAGCGUUGUUCGGAAUUACUGGGCGUAAAGCGCGCGUAGGCGGUGAUCUUUGUCAGAGGUGAAAGCCCGGGGCUCAACUCCGGAAUUGCCUUUGAAACGGGAUCGCUUGAGUCCGAGAGAGGAUGGCGGAAUUCCUAGUGUAGAGGUGAAAUUCGUAGAUAUUAGGAAGAACACCGGUGGCGAAGGCGGCCAUCUGGCUCGGUACUGACGCUCAGGCGCGAAAGCGUGGGGAGCAAACAGGAUUAGAUACCCUGGUAGUCCACGCCGUAAACUAUGAAUGCUAGUUGUUAGGAAGUUUACUUCUUAGUGACGCAGCUAACGCGUUAAGCAUUCCGCCUGGGGAGUACGGUCGCAAGAUUA
rnacentral:rRNA from 1 species